ACCUGGGUAGCUCAGUUGGUUGGGCAUCUGACUUCGGCUCAGGUCAUGAUCUCGCAGUCUGUGAGUUUAAGCCUCAUGUCGGGUU
rnacentral:tRNA from 1 species